UACGUAGGGGGCAAGCGUUGUCCGGAUUUAUUGGGCGUAAAGAGCGUGUAGGCGGCUUCACAGGUCCGCUGUGAAAACUCGAGGCUCAACCUCGAGCUGUCGGUGGAAACCGUGUGGCUAGAGUCCGGAAGAGGAGAGUGGAAUUCCCGGUGUAGCGGUGAAAUGCGCAGAUAUCGGGAAGAACACCCGUGGCGAAGGCGGCUCUCUGGGACGGUACUGGACGCUGAGACGCGAAAGCGUGGGGAGCGAACAGGA
rnacentral:rRNA from 1 species